rnacentral:rRNA from 1 species
UAUUUUGUUGGUUUCUAGGAUCACCGUAAUGAUUAAUAGGGAUAGUUGGGGGCAUUAGUAUUCAAUUGUCAGAGGUGAAAUUCUUGGAUUUAUUGAAGACUAACUACUGCGAAAGCAUUUGCCAAGGACGUUUUCAUUAAUCAAGAACGAAAGUUAGGGGAUCGAAGACGAUCAGAUACCGUCGUAGUCUUAACCAUAAACUAUGCCGACUA